AUCUGACGCUUCUAGGAAUGUUUUAUUUGAAAUUGAUAGGGUUGUUACCAAAUGUCAACUUAAUAAAUUAUAUAUGUAACAGGUUUUUUGAAAGGAAAUUUGUAGAAUCCCUUUAUAUAAGCGGAUAUUUACCAUACUUCCACAACAGUUGGAAAAGAGCUGAAAAAUGGGAGUAAAACUAUUAGUUUUGUGUUUUAUCGUCAGCGCCUGCGCUGUUCGACGACCUCCUCCUCCUCCUCCUCCUCCAGGACCACCAAUGCCAUUUGUGUGUCCGGCGUCUAAAAUAAUCACUACGUGCGAUUGUAGACCUGAGUUAAACCGCUGUAACGUCGACAGUGACUGUCCAGGCGGACAAAAGUGCUGUGACCAGGGGUGUGGGUGUCGACGGAGGUGUGUGAACCCAGUCCUUAAACCAGGCAGACCAGGAAAACCCAACACGUGUUACGAACCAAAAGAGGUAGGACUCUGUAGAGCAGCAAUCCGAAGAUGGUGGUACAACGAACAAACCAAACAAUGCGAAACCUUUAACUACGGUGGAUCUGGGGGAAAUGGAAACAACUAUAAGACAAAAAGACAAUGCGAACAGCGCUGCAAAACGAGAAAACACGACAGAAAACUGUUACGGACAGGCAGAUCCAGGAAAAAAGCAUGGAGGCCUGCGCUGUUCGACGACCUCCUCCUCCUCCUCCUCCUCCUCCAGGACCACCAAUGCCAUUUGUGUGUCCGGCGUCUAAAAUAAUCACUACGUGCGAUUGUAGACCUGAGUUAAACCGCUGUAACGUCGACAGUGACUGUCCAGGCGGACAAAAGUGCUGUGACCAGGGGUGUGGGUGUCGACGGAGGUGUGUGAACCCAGUCCUUAAACCAGGCAGACCAG